rnacentral:rRNA from 1 species
CCUACGGGAGGCAGCAGUGAGGAAUAUUGGUCAAUGGACGAGAGUCUGAACCAGCCAAGUAGCGUGAAGGAUGACUGCCCUAUGGGUUGUAAACUUCUUUUAUAUGGGAAUAAAACGUUCCACGUGUGGGAUUUUGUAUGUACCAUAUGAAUAAGGAUCGGCUAACUCCGUGCCAGCAGCCGCGGUAAUACGGAGGAUCCGAGCGUUAUCCGGAUUUAUUGGGUUUAAAGGGAGCGUAGGUGGAUUGUUAAGUCAGUUGUGAAAGUUUGCGGCUCAACCGUAAAAUUGCAGUUGAAACUGGCAGUCUUGAGUACAGUAGAGGUGGGCGGAAGUCGUGGUGUAGCGGUGAAAUGCUUAGAGAGCACGAAGAACUCCGAUUGCGAAGGCAGUUCACUGGACUGCAACUGACACUGAGGCUCGAAAGUGUGGGUAUCAAACAGGAUUAGAUACCCGAGUAGUC